rnacentral:sRNA from 23 species
UCAGACUGAGCAUUCGUUAAAAAAAUUCGCAUGGUGAAUCCCCCUGUGCGGAGGGGCGACUGGUGUAUAAGGUGUCAUCUCUGACGACAACCUGGAGCGAGAUACGCGGGUUCAGGGACACCGGACUGAACUCACCGGGAGGCACCCGGCACCAUGUACAUGAUGAUACAGAUACGCAGUGUCAGCCCCUCUCCGGAGGGGCUUUUUAUCUG